AUUUAAAUAGUUUAAAUUAAAAUAUUAAUUUGUGAUAUUAAAGAUUUAUUAUGUAAUUUAAAUU
rnacentral:tRNA from 1 species